GCGAGGUAACGGCUCACCAAGGCGACGACGGGUAGCUGGUCUGAGAGGACGACCAGCCACACUGGAACUGAGAUACGGUCCAGACUCCUACGGGAGGCAGCAGUGGGGAAUCUUGCACAAUGGGCGAAAGCCUGAUGCAGCGACGCCGCGUGGGGGACGAAGGCUUUCGAGUUGUAAACCCCUUUCGACAGGGAAGAAGCGCAAGUGACGGUACCUGUAGAAGAAGCUCCGGCUAACUACGUGCCAGCAGCCGCGGUAAGACGUAGGGAGCGAGCGUUGUCCGGAUUCAUUGGGCGUAAAGAGCGCGUAGGCGGUUUGGUAAGUCGGAUGUGAAAAUCCGGGGCUCAACCCCGGACGUGCAUCCGAAACUGCCCGACUAGAGGUAGGUAGGGGAGAUCGGAAUUCCUGGUGUAGCGGUGAAAUGCGCAGAUAUCAGGAGGAACACCGGUGGCGAAGGCGGAUCUCUGGGCCUUACCUGACGCUGAGGCGCGAAAGCUAGGGGAGCAAACAGGAUUAGAUACCCUGGUAGUCCUAGCCGUAAACGUUGGGUGCUAGGUGUGGGCGGAAAUCGACCCCGUCCGUGCCGGAGCUAACGCAUUAAGCACCCCGCCUGGGGAGUAC
rnacentral:rRNA from 1 species